ensembl:lncRNA
CGGAGUUCGGUGCCCGCCCACCUGCCCGGGCGACAAUGCGGUGACCCGGGGGCGGCCCUCGCCGCGCGCCGGAGACGUGCGCCCUGGCCUUCUAGGUGCUCAAGAGCUGGAAAACGAGCCAGGCGUGGUUGCGUAUCCCAGUUAUCCCAGCACUCAGGAGGCUGAGGCAGGAAGAUUGCUGUGAGUUCAAGGCCACCUUGGGCUACAAAGUGAGUUCAAGACCACCCUGAGCUACAUAGCAAGAUGUCAAAACAGAAGAAAGAGCUGGAAAACAGAUGAAUGUCUCUUCCUCUCUCCCAGCCUCCACCUGCGGGCCUCCCUGUAGCCAGCCUGCCUCCCACUCAACCAGGAGGCCCUGGAGGCUUCGCUCCAGCCAGCAGUGGGCCCAGAGCCUCUGCUGCCGCCACCUCCUCCACAUGCCGGCCCCUGCAGCCACAGAGCAUCACAGUGCGGAGCCUUUGUUUGUACAUCAGUUUCCUGAAAGUUCAGUUAUUGUGAGUCUUGCCCCAGGUACUGAUCGGCUCUCUGCAGGUUUUGUAAAAAUAAUCGUUUCAGGGUGGAGAUGUAGCUCAGUGGUAUGGCCUUUGCCUAGCAUGCACAAGGCCCUAAAUCCAAUCCCUGCAAAUCAUGAUACUAUAGCAAUAAAUAAUGAGUUUCUGAGCAAACCCCGACCUGUAGGAGAUUCUGGAGGGCAUGUAGAGCAGAAGUUUCUAGUUAUAUAAUUUACUGCUGCUUGCUGUGUGCCUGGCGCUGGGUACUUUCAAAGAAUAUUUUUCUUGGUGUUUUUUUUGAGACAAGGUCUCACUAUGGCUGACCGGAGGAGGAAGGGAGACAGUGUCUACCCACUGGUCCAGGCCGGGGCCUCAGUGGGCCUGUGCAUCCUGGGAACAGGGCGGAGCCUCAGUCGAUGGACUGACAGCCAUGAACAAAUGCUGGGCACAGCGUGGCUGCAGAUACCCAGUGCUACCGAGAAAAACCAAGCAGCAGAGCAAGGGAGGGCCAGGCUGGUGUGGUCAGGGCAGCUAAAGACCUGUAAUAACAUUGAGAGUCAUUUUUAUUAAUUAAUUUGUAUGUUUUUUUAAUUUUCUCUACUUUCUUUCUUUCUUUUUUUUUUUUUGAGACAGGGUCUUGCUUUGUAAUCCAGGCUGGCCUAGAAUUUGUGUCGAUCCUCCUGCUUCAGCCUCCCAUUCCCAAGUGGUGGGAUUAUGGGUGUGUGCCACGUUUAAUUUUUUGGUACCACAAGGGGUUGAACCCAGGGCCUCCCACAUGCUAGGCAAUCCCUCUACCACUGAGUUGUACCUGGCCCUUUAUUUUUCUUCUCAAUCAUUAGUACUUUCCUUUUUUUUCUGCAGCUAGCAGGUGUUGCUAGGUAACAGAAAUUGCAUUUGUUUUAAUGAGUCGUCAUGAUGUGGUCUGGGAAGAGCUCUGGCCCUUGGAUCUCCAGGGAUGCUUUCGCAACUCUGCACAGAAAGAUAGCCAGAGCCGGAGACGGGCAAUGCCUGGCACUGAGCAGUGAGGAGUGGGCAGCAGCGCGAUACAGCGAGCCAGGGAUCGCUUACACCUGAGAAGAAGCACAGAGCAGCCCAUGCCAGAAGAGAACCCAAGUGAAGCGUGGAGGACGGCCUCCUCGGGCGACCGCGAGUGUCAGUUGUCCCAAGGCAUUCUCAGCAGCCACACGUUCUUAGCUGAGAUCCCUGUAUUGGAAUCUUAAGACUCCACCUGCUGUUGGAGAAACUUGUGAAUACCUCUCGCUGUCCCUAGGAGAACCCGUCUCAUACCUUUACAGCUGUCCCCGGGUAUUAAGGCUCCUGAAAUGUUAUUGACACUGGAUUUGGUGGAACAGCAAUCAUGACCAGGAUCAGCAAGAGCAGCAAGAUGCUGCAGCACACUGACAAGCAGAUACAGUGUGUCCUGUAGGACGGCUGGGUCUCUUGACAAGCCUAGGAAUUUGACCCUCUGUGAUUGUGACAGUUCAGGAAGAUCAAGCCAAAGAAUGCAGAACAGCCAGAGCGUGAAGAGAAGCAGGCCUGGGGUCUGGCUUUGCUGCCUGGGAAGGACUUGGUAUCCGUGACUGUGGAACAACCCCUCCUGAAGAUACUG